rnacentral:rRNA from 1 species
GAUGAACGCUGGCGGCGUGCCUAAUACAUGCAAGUCGAGCGAACGGACGAGAAGCUUGCUUCUCUGAUGUUAGCGGCGGACGGGUGAGUAACACGUGGAUAACCUACCUAUAAGACUGGGAUAACUUCGGGAACCCGGAGCUAAUACCGGAUAAUAUUUUGAACCGCAUGGUUCAAAAGUGAAAGACGGUCUUGCUGUCACUUAUAGAUGGAUCCGCGCUGCAUUAGCUAGUUGGUAAGGUAACGGCUUACCAAGGCAACGAUGCAUAGCCGACCUGAGAGGGUGAUCGGCCACACUGGAACGGAGACACGGUCCAGACUCCUACGGGAGGCAGCAGUAGGGAAUCUUCCGCAAUGGGCGAAAGCCUGACGGAGCAACGCCGCGUGAGUGAUGAAGGUCUUCGGAUCGGAAAACUCUGUUAUUAGGGAAGAACAUAUGUGUAAGUAACUGUGCACAUCGUGACGGUACCUAAUCAGAGAGCCACGGCUAACUACGUG